AUCUGGAGUGACAGAGGCUGCAAGAACUGACCCCAUGACUUUGACCAGAUAACCACAAUGGCUUGAAAUUAGACUUUGUGCACCAAUCAGGGGAGUAAACUUCAGUGCAGCAAACCCAGCAGGAGGGAGAAAUGCAUGGUUGGAAAUCUUGACCUACGCAAAUCUCUGGGCUGCCUUUCAUCCCCUCGUGCUGCACCCUGAGGUUAAGCCACUUUCACUGGAAUACCAGUGCCAAACAAAAAGAACAGGAGCACUGCAGGGGAAUAACUGGCAGUAGUUUGAGUCUUCCUUUACCUUGCACGUGCUGAGCUUAAGAAGUGGUGACUUUCCAUCAUGGACCUCCUGGCUCUUUCAGAUGGGUUCAGAAACUCAUGUAAAGCUGAAAGAAGAAUGCAUGUCUGGAAGAUAUAAAACAAGUUGUGGAAAAAUGGGAGUGAGGUGGAAGAUACCCAGCUCUCUAUAUUUAGAAGUCAGAGUAUGUGUGCUCCCCCAGCAGCUGUGAGAAAUAAUAU